UACGGAGGGGGCGAGCGUUGUUCGGAAUCACUGGGUGUAAAGGGUGCGUAGGCGGUCUCUCAAGUCUGAUGUGAAAUCCCUGGGCUCAACUCAGGAACUGCAUUGGAAACUGAAAGGCUGGAGUACCGGAGAGGGAAGCGGAAUUCCAGGUGUAGCGGUGAAAUGCGUAGAUAUCUGGAGGAACACCGGUGGCGAAGGCGGCAUCCUGGACCAAUAUUGACGCUGAGGAGCGAAAGCUAGGGGAGCAAACGGGG
rnacentral:rRNA from 1 species